rnacentral:lncRNA from 1 species
AUGCGCUCACACUCACACACACACGCUCACAAACUCACACUCACGUGCUCACACACACACACACACGCACACACACACGCACUCACACACACACACAUGCGCUCACACUCACACACGUGCUCACAAACUCACACUCACGUGCUAACACACAUUCACACACACACACACACUCACACGUGCUCACACACUCACACUCACACGCGCUCACACAUUCACACACACACACAUUCACACACGCACUCACACACACACGUGCUCACACACUCACACUCACACGUGCUCACACAUUCACACACACACACAUGCACUCACACUCACACACGCGCUCACAAACUCACACUCACGUGCUCACACACAUUCACACACACACACACGCACUCACACUCACACACAUUCACACACUCACACACACGUGCGCUCACAUACGCUCACACACACAUGCACACUCACAUGCACUCACACACACAUGCACUCACACUCACACACUCAUACACAUUCACACAUGCAUCACACACACACGUGCUCACACACACAAACUCACGCUCACACACACUCAUACACACACACGCACUCACACACACUCUCAUACAUUCACACACAUGCACUCACACGUGCUCACACACAUUCACACACACUCACAUGUGCUCACACACACAUUCACACACAUGCACUCACACUCGCACUCACAUACAUUCAUACACACACACUCAUGCACUCACAGGCACUCACACACACACACUCACAUGCACUCAUGCACUCACACAUUCACACACACACUCACACACUCACACUUUCACACAGUCACACACUCAUACUCACACGCACUCACACACUCACACACACACACUCAUACUCACACACCCGCACUCACACACUCACACACACAGUCACACACUCACACUCACACACGCACACACACCCCACCCUGAGAUCCCACCUUGCACCCACCAGGAUGGCCAUCACCAAAACAGAGCCAGGCAGAUGCCAAGCAUUGGCAGGAGGUGGCAGUCGUGUCCGACUCUUUGCGACCCCAUGGACCGCAGCCCCCCAGGCUCCUCUGUCCAUGGGAUCCUCCAAGCAAGAAUACUGCAUUGGGUUGCCAUUUCCUCCUCCAGGGGAUCUUCCCAACCCAGGGACGGAACCCGGGCCUCUUGCGUCUCCUGCACUGGCAGGCAGGUUCCUUACCACAGCGCCACCUGGGAAGCCCAUGGAACGAUGCGGUUCCCCGGGAUGGGCCCGAUGACCCACAGGACCCGGGGUUCCACUCUUGGGUCUGCCCAUGGAACGAUGCAGUUCCCGGGAUGGGCCCGAUGA